AGAAGAAGCUCCGGCUAACUUCGUGCCAGCAGCCGCGGUAAUACGAAGGGGGCUAGCGUUGUUCGGAAUUACUGGGCGUAAAGCGCGCGUAGGCGGAUUGGAAAGUUGGGGGUGAAAUCCCAGGGCUCAACCCUGGAACUGCCUCCAAAACUAUCAGUCUAGAGUUCGAGAGAGGUGAGUGGAACUCCGAGUGUAGAGGUGAAAUUCGUAGAUAUUCGGAAGAACACCAGUGGCGAAGGCGGCUCACUGGACAGGUAUUGAC
rnacentral:rRNA from 1 species